UACGUAGGGGGCAAGCGUUGUCCGGAGUUACUGGGCGUAAAGCGCACGCAGGCGGUCUCUUAAGUUUGGAGUGACAGUUGGUGGCUUAACUGCCAAAGUGCUUCGAAAACUGAGAGACUUGAGGGCUUCAGAGGGACACGGAAUUCCGGGUGGAGUGGUGAAAUGCGUAGAUAUCGGGAGGAAUACCAGUGGCGAAGGCGGCUUCCUGGCCUGCUCUUGACGCUGAGGCGCGAAAGCUAGGGUAGCAAACGGG
rnacentral:rRNA from 1 species